rnacentral:tRNA from 1 species
GGAGUGUAGCGCAGCUUGGUAGCGCGAUUGACUGGGGGUCAACAGGUCGGCGGUUUGAUUCCGCCCCAUCCA